rnacentral:lncRNA from 1 species
UCUCGGCAAUAAUAAUACACAUUUCAUUCGUUCUUUUGAUUUACUUUCGUCCACAACGACUCCCGAUAUUUACCUCAAAGUUUUUUUGUAGUAUUAUAUAUUAAAAUAAGUUAAGACAAAUUCAAUUUUCAAACUAUACAUUCAUUUCUAUAUUUAGCGCGCAUCCACGCAAAAAAUCAAAAAUUGGAACUGAUCCUGAUAUAGUUUGUUGGAAGACAACUUCUUGUAAUCCAUUUUCUUUAAUGAUGGUUUGGAGAAGCUUCCAAAGUGAAGGGUGCUGGCACUGCAUGGAAAGCCAUAUGCCAAGAUUCUAUAGAGUUAUUUGUUCUAGGCAAACCUUCUGUUGGUAUAUUCAUAUUCCAUAAUGCUAGUGGAUAUCGCGGCUCUCUCCUAAUUCUUCCCAUAUAUCGACCGAUGUAAUUGUCUUCGAAAUAAUCGGCAAUGACUCUUGAGAUCCUCAGGAAGGGCUUCUGUGUGGAUCUCAAAAGCAUUGAUAAUUAUAUCAGGAGGUAGGAAAUCCAAUGCGAUAGGACUCUUUAUUUUAAUUCGUAUAUCCUCAUUUUUAAUAUAAAUUUGUCGUAUCCCUGACUUCUGAACUUGCCUCCACAACGACUGGCCCAAAUGAAAAAGCAUCCAACAACUUUAGUCAAAG